rnacentral:rRNA from 1 species
CUACUCUUGACAUCCAGCGAACUUGGCAGAGAUGCCUUGGUGCCUUCGGGAACGCUGAGACAGGUGCUGCAUGGCUGUCGUCAGCUCGUGUUGUGAAGUGUUGGGUUAAGUCCCGCAACGAGCGCAACCCUUAUCCUUUGUUGCCAACACGUCAUGGUGGGAACUCAAAGGAGACUGCCGGUGAUAAACCGGAGGAAGGUGGGGAUGACGUCAAGUCAUCAUGGCCUUUAUGGCCAGGGCUACACACGUGCUACAAUGGCAAGUACAGAGGGAAGCCAACCGGCGACGGGGAGCUAAUCCCAGAAAACUUGUCUUAGUCCGGAUUGGAGUCUGCAACUCGACUCCAUGAAGUUGGAAUCGCUAGUAAUCGCAGAUCAGCAUUGCUGCGGUGAAUACGUUCCC